AGUUGUGUCAUCCUCUUUUUUACCCAACCUUGGGUAAAUUUUACUCAUUUUUAUUUAGAGUGUAGGUAAGAGUGCAAGCAAGGUUUCAGAUCUUUGCAAGAUGAUCCGAGUGAAGCCAUCGGAACGUGAGGAGCUAUGUCGGUGGCGUACGGACCCACAGGCUGCUCGAUAUAUUCCUACCUGUUCAUUAUGGUCUGAUGACUCGGAUUAGUGAGAAUGAGUUCAUGAAGUUCCGGCAAAAGUGCAGCUUGUAGUAGUGUGUGUCUUCGUAUCCUCAAUAUAUUUACCUUCACCAGUUGAUGUUAAGUCGUGUUUAAUUUAUAAUAGUCUGGUGUAAAAACUUGGCAGAAUAUUACCAGGAUCUGGCAUUAGUUAAGCUAGGAGGAGCUAUUUACUGGCCCCUUGUUGUGAAAGUUGUCAUUGUGGCAGAAUAAUUUAAUUAAUAGUUGAUCUAAUAUUCAGAGAGCACGUCAACUGUAAUUUUUGUGAAUUUACACAAUUUAUGCUGUUUACGCAUUUUUACUCAGUGAGGUGUUGUGCACGAUGGAGGAGUAAUUAUCCUGAAAGUAUGCAGUAAUGUUGAGAUCGUGAGAAUUAAUUAUUGUGUAAUUAUCCUUAUUUUUAUACAUAAUUUUAGCCGCAGUAAUUAAACUUUUGUAGCUAAUGGGAAUUACGUAAUAGGAGUUAUUAGGAGGUGACCUUUGAAAGAGAAAUCAAACAUAAUUAAUACGGCGUAUUUUCUACGUAGAUUAGUUGUGGAUACAAAUGGAUACUUACAAAUGACUAUUAAAUUAAUAACCGGGCAUUAAUUAAGUCAAGAAGGAGCAAUGCAGAAGCUGUUCCACUUAUUUUAUUUAUAGAGGAAUAGUUAACAGCGAUUAAUAAUUAAAUCAGAGAAAUGUAGUGUGCAGUUGUGAUAAUUUAGCCAGCUUGAGCUGUUAAGUGAGUGCCAAAUAAGUAGAGAGGAUGUGAGGCGUCAUUUUGUAAAUUUACAGGUUCACGCGAAUCACACGGUUUAUCUUUACCUAGUUAAUAGUUACCUAGGAGGAUUAUGAAUGUGUGUAUACAAUUAUAACCUGUAAUGUUAUUCAGUAAAUGUAUGAAAUAACUUUAUACCGAGAUUUUUAUGAAGUAAUUUGAUGCAGUAAAUUUUAUGCAAUAAGUGUAUGCAGUAACAUUUAGCAGUGGUGGUAGUGAUGGAAGGAAAUUGUGCGGCCCUGAAUUUGAAGUACUGGAAAUUCGUAUGUGCAAUAAUAUGAUGAAGCAAGAGAUGGGUGUUUGAAUUCAGUGGAAGAGAAGGAUUUUAUUAAUAAUAUGUAAUGAGGAAUAAGGUAGUAAGUUGUAUUGGUAGGCGGUGGUGCUUAAAUCAUGAUAAGAAAUAAAUGUUUUGAGUCAGCAAUAAGUAAAAUUAAAUAUAAGUAGUAUAUAUUGUGAAGCUACGAAUUGGUGACUACGUAAGAUUAAAAAUUGUUUGUGGUACCUAAUAGCCGCCUCCGAGUGGGCAUAAGAGCCACUCAAUAAGUGACGCUCGUCCAAUCAUCAGUUACAGCAGGGUUUGUUUUGAGAUGAAAAGAUGUCUAAACAAUCCCAUUUCUGGGUCAUAAUUGUCUCCGCAAGUCUGCAAUAAUUCUGUUGAAUAAAGCAGGCAAGUUGUUAGGUAUUAGUAAUGUAUUCGUGCUAAGAGACAACAUUAUGGUAAUUUUUAAGUGUAAUUGUACGGUGUUGAGUAGUGACUUACGGUGAGGAUGAGGUCGGCGUCCAUGCAGGCGGCGCGGGGGUGACAAUGCUACGCGGCUUCCCACACCACAAAGGAACCAUCUGCAAUAUGAAAAGACUUGGAAGCGUAUACGGAAUCUUCGUAAUAGUUUUUUUAAAUAGAUCAUAAUUGUUAAUUAUUUACUGCGUUCCAAGCACUUGAUGCUGGAGCCCCACUCCCUCUAUUCCAAGGGAGUUGUGCGGAUAUGGCACUUGGGACGACUGGCAGCAAUCGCUGCUGCAGAACAAAAUGUUAAUGAUUUAAAAGUGUGUGGUAGUUGAGCCGUAGUUAAAAUGUUAAGUUAUUGUUGUUAUUAAUACGUAUUUCGACUAAUUUCGAAAGAUCACCUCAGGAGUAGUACGGCCACGGUGGUGAAGAGUUGCACGGUUUUCAAAAUUUGUCAAGCUAAGAGUACUGUGGGAUUUGGUGAAGUUGGGGGAUAGAAUGUAAAAGUAAUGAUGUUGAACUAGCUGUACCAAGCUGUAUUUAUAUGCAAGCGCGACGUAAAAAGGGAAUAUCGAGUGUUGUACUUUUUCCCUAAAAAUUAGAGUAAAAAUGCUGCCUCGCAUUUUCAGGGAUUCAUGAGAGGAAGUGAUAAACAUUGGCGAGGUAGCAGUCAAUACGAAAUUCAUGAAAAUGUGUACCUUGCAUUUAUAGGCGAAGGAGAGACGUUGGCAGUUGGUCGCAAAUUUUGCAACAUCAGAGCUGAGGUUGCAGUUUGCAGGGAUAAAAUGAAGUAAGAAGCACGUGAGUGUAGUGACAUUAAUUCAUUGAGAAUUAAUAUAGUUGUGGUUCAUUGCACUUAGGGUUGUAAAUAUUGAGACGUAUUAGUAAGGAUUAAACAGUAUAAAUGUGUGCAGAAGUUGUCGUAGUUGCAUUUUAUAUUGGUCACUUAGUUAAGUUAUGACGUUCAAAUACGCGAAUAAUGUCAAUUUCAUCGGCUGAGUUUGGUAUGAAGAGUUUGGGAUCGACAAAAAUGAGUAUCGCGUCUUGGGGAUUCACGAGUUCAUUUUUUGGAAGGAUACAUUGAUGUCUAUUGAAGUUUCUACCGUCACAAAAGAAUUUGUCACAGUUAGUACACAAUAGUGGUUGCUUUAUAGUCACUACUAGUCGUUGAUGACCAGACUCGAAGUGUUUUCUUUGAGUUGUUAAGUCCAUGUGUUUAAACUCGGAAUUCGGUGAGGAAAAUAGCUAAUCAAACCCUUGUAAUUCACGACGAAUUGGCAUUUUUAAUAAGCUCAGUGGUCCAGCAAACGCUACAAUCCUUAUUUAAUGAAGCAAUACAGGCCUGCGUGGAGGGACGCCUCCAUCGUUACUUUGCAUCGGAAGUAACAUUGGCACAGCAGGUUCAACCAACAUAAUUCCAGGCAUAAUUACCAAAUUGGAGGAUUUGGUAAUGUCAAAUAAUGAAUCAGUAAACGUGUCAACCAAUGAUGUGAAUAACAAAUGGAAGAAUUCAGUCAGUCAUUUGGACCUAUCUAUCCCAGUGGAGUCAUUUCAGCCACCACCACCACCGUUUUUCCCGACGUGGCAUAUUGAUGCCCUCCCAAUAACAACUUGGACAACGGCAAUAACAACUUGGACAACGGCAGUAACAACUAUUGUAGUGGUGGUACUCGUAAUAAUAACAAUACUAAUUGGUUGUUAUCUGUGUUGCAUGCCCACUCCCACUAAAAUAUUAGCAACAAUUGCACAAAGCAUUGGUCCGUCCCUACGAGUAAAUAAUAUUAUUACCGAAGAAUCAUAUGCCAGUUUCGAGAAAGCUUUGUUUAAUAUUGUGCAUAUAUUAUGGUAACGGUACACGACAUAUUUCUUAAAUACAUAAUGGAAGUGUUUACACACGAUAUUAUAUUAUCCAAUAUACUUAAGCAGGCAAAUUAAGUCGUGCUGAAUCGGUGGCUUAGUUGAGAAGUUUGCCUCUCUAGUUACUCUGGUCUGCAGAGGAGGCUGCUAAAUGUGUCGUUUUGCAUGAUAAUUCGACAUGAAUACAUUAGUAAUGCAUAGUUUAAUUCAGUGGUAUUGUUUAAAAAAAAGAAAAAAAGAAAAUUUUUGCUCUAUUUAGUAGUUAUUGUAAUUAUUAAUGAAGAAUUGUAUAAAAAACAAUGUCACGAUUCAAAUGAAAUUGGUGCCAGUGUGGAGUAAACCAGUAUGGAAAUAAGAUAUGAGUUAUGUAAUUAAUGCAAAUUAACUUGGUAAAUGUAUGUAUUUAAAUAGUAUAAAUAAUAUGAAAUUUUGAAGAUGAUGCAAAUACAAUUACAAUACAGAAUAUUUAUAGCUCAGUAUUAGAUAGUAUGAAGUCUCAAGGUAUGUAAUGCAAAUAAAAAUAGUCAAGUAAAUGUGUUUCUUAGACAUAUCAUGAUGAUAAGUUAAGGCCAAAUAAUUUAUUGAUGAGCAGGUAACAGUAUACAUACAUUUAUGAAGAAAUUUGGAAUUGCUAAUCAUAUCAUUGUAAUUUUAGUGUGCAUACAUAGGUAUGAAUUGCUGUGGUGUUUAUGCCCAAGAGAGUAAGUGUUUAAACGAAUGUAAUUAAAUUAUUACUGCUGACCUGCCCCAGAUGGACAGAUAAGCCACUGCACCAGGGAGGCCUGUUCUGGGCCAAGAAGGAGCGACAGCAGCGUCUGUUUCUUAGCAAGGAGGAGGUAAACGCAGUCCCAUUCUUGAACAAUGACGGCUUGGGCAAGUCUGCACGGAUUCUGGAAUUUAAUUAGAACAAAUUAUUAGAAAAACUAGCACGGGGAAGGUUUUGUUCAUCAGAAUCCCAGACCACGUACGCGUUAUCUAUAAAUAGAAAAUUACAAUAGGGAAUUGUUUUUAGUAAGGAUUUAAAUUAGCGUUACUGUCAGAAAUAGGAUACGAGUCAAAAAUGAACUUAACGUAGGUAAAUAUCUUGUCGUAGCUCUAUUGGCUAUCGUCUUUACUACAACCACGGAGGGAAAUGGGGCCCUGGUGAGGUUUGCAACGGCAAAAAGUACCUGGACAGGGGUCAUGGAGUUCAUCUCUGGUGUGAGAGCUGCUUUUGGGAAGUCAAAAGAAGUCAGUGAUAAGCAGGGUUUCGACGAUACACAGAAAGGUAUCCUUCAGUAUAUUGUUGUUAGUGCAUACUAACUGGAGGAAAUGGUCAAGGGGCUUACGGCAAUGGUGGAGGAAAUUGACAAAAACAAUUCCAUCAUGUUAGAAGCAGCGAAGGAGGAGAACAAAUCUGAUAGUAAUAAUUAUUAUUUGCUGGCAGGGAUAUUAGCCGUAAUGUCGCUGAACUUGGCCAUGUGUUUCAUGAUAAAUAUGCAGGCUCAAGCAGCACGUAGAUCCAACGAGCAGAACGUGAACAUAGCUAGGGCAUAAGCACAAAAUAUACAAUACCGUAAAAUAAAAUAAAACAAGCUAUAUAAUACAUUAAUCGGACUGAUGCUGACCGAAAGGGGCUAAGAAGAAUAUGCCUGAAGAUGGAUUGUUAAUUAAAUAAUUUAAUGAAAUUUUAAAUAAUUUCACAAGAUUUUUAAUAUUAAAUAUAUAUUAUAUUGCUUUCACUAACUAAUUAUGGCACUAACGAAACCCGCUCUAUAACUUAAUUACAUUCUUUAUAAUUAUGAAAUCUAUGUACUCUAUGGGCAGGUUUUGCCCGAAAGGGUUUUAUUAAAUUAAUAAAUCAAUCAAUCAAUCAAUAGGGAAUUAUUUCAUGUAGUAAAACAUGUAGACCAUAGUUAAUUAUGUUAAAAUAUUAGUGGUAAGUUAAGCUUACUUCUAUUCAUGCAGUCGCCACAUUUCACGAUUUCUCCCAGGCCGAGAGUAGUGUAACGUUUGUAGUUACGUAAAGAAGCGGAGCUGCGUAAUAAUAUUUUUAAAAAAAUUUAGUACCGAAUGUAAAUUAUGAAAUUAAUAUUGUAGCAAUAAGACGCAGGAACUGACCCCCCGAGGAGCAGCAACACCAGGAAAGUAGUGGUCUGCAAGCUGUUAAGUUUCUGGUAAAUUUUGAAGCUUGGACUGAGUGUGGUGUUGAAAACUAUUUAAGAAUAAUGCCAAUAAGCAGUUGCCACGACCAUUUAUGUAGAUUUACAACAUCUACAGUUCUUGUACUUUGUACUUAUUGAAUUUAGCGAUAAGUAAGAGAAAAUGCUUACCUUUGAAAUUUUGUGUCCAAAACAUUUUCAAUUAAAUGUGUGUAUGAAUGAGCAAGCUGAUUUGCAAAAUUGUAUUUAUCUUAUCCAGUUCCUUUAAACAAAAUUGCGAUGUUCACUUUGAAGCUGAAUGUAAAAAGUUCAUUUAGAGUAUGUAUUAAUUACUGUUGACUUCGGAUUUCCUGUUUUAUUAAGUUCACAACUUGAUCCUCGCAAUCAGCACUAAUUUGGAAACCAGUGACAACUAUUUGGUCUGUAUUUGGUAUGCACUUCUUCAAAGUGUUUUUGUUGUGCGAUUCUUUGCCCAGCAAAAUUUAAAUUGCAAGGCAUACAGCGUUCUGUACCUGCCAGAAUUUCACUUGAAUUGUUGGUAGCGAGGUGAUCGCAGUUGCCGUUAUUAAGCGUUACAGGAUGUUUACAGAUUUUGUGGAAAAACAAUUACAUGUAUUACUUUUGAACGCGUAAUCCAAUUUGCACCAAAUUUGGCACACACAAACUCGAAGGUCACGACCAAACCUGCCCAAAGUUUCAAAUUUCCAUCUUCAAAGAUGGCCCCCAAAAGUUACCUCAAAGUGGACGUACCGUAAAAGCGGUUUCCGAAGCUAAUUUGGCCGCGAGAAGUGCCCAAACGAUAAUCCAAACAUUUAGAACCCAUCUUAUCGUGUCCCCCACAUAUAAUUGUAUCAAUUUUGUAAGAAAACGCCAGUAACUAGUUUCAUCCGACCAACGUAUGCGACGAAAUGCAUACCCCUCAAAACGAUGAAUUUUGCCACCCUGAAGAACUAUGAUCGCCAUGAUGGCAAUCAGAAUCCUGCAACCAAAAGACAGGUCACAAUGCAAUCCCAGGUGUCUCCUGGACAUGUUAAUCGUAUUUUAUAGCACAAUUUUAAAAAAAGCCUUGCAGAGGAAUGCGAAAGUCCGCGCACUUAAAUUUACCCAUAUGGUAAACAAAAAAACUAACAGCCGGAGGCUGUUUGAAGGUCAUGUUGGGAAUAAAAAUUCCGAAUUUGUCGUCACAUUGGACGGGACACUCUGCUGCUUUCAAAACUUCAACAGGACAAAAACAAUUUGCUGCAAAACCGACCGAAAGCAGAUUUCAAAGCAUGGGUCUGAAAAGAAGGAAAAGUUGUCUGACUGAUUCCUGGUGGCAGGUGCAAUGACGGACUGUGGAGUGCGAACAUUGAUACCUGAGGGGUCUAAUGCAAAAAUAAACUUGAAGUACUUUAUGGACAGUGUUUUACAUAAGUUGUUGGAGGUCAAAAUUGCAAAGAAGCAAUUUGGGGAGCCUGACAAGGUUUGCAUCCAUCACGAUGCGACAUUUUCAUAUACGACCGUAUUUACCCAACCGGACGCCCAAGAUUUAAAGGCAAACCCCGGAAUGACCUCGGUAUCUUUCUCCGGUACACAUUAAGUAACCUGACACCAGUCCGAUUGAAUUUUUUGGGUUUGGAUGCUUAGAACAACGCUUUUUCAAUGGAAGAGAUAAAAAUUGUCUGUUGUUUGGAAACCCCUUUCACCGAUUCCUCCACUUUGAGGUCACUUUUUGCGCUCAUUUUUGAAGAUAGAAAUUUGAAACUUGGUACAUGUGUGACCGUGAUCUUGGGGAUUGCGUGUUCGAAAUUUGGCGCCAAAACGGAUAAAGGGUUCGCAGUUUACCCAUAAAAUUCUCUUUCCACAAAAUCUGUAAACACCCUCUGUAAUUGUAAAUUACUUAUAAUUUGAUGCACAUUAGUAACAGUUGGUGCAACAGUGGGUUGAAAAACGUUACGUUACGUGCACGUUAUGUUGCAAUAAAUGCAGUACUUGUUGCAAUAAUUCAAAAUCUAUGUGCACGCUGCCCAUUUUUAAUUAAACUUUACGUAGUCAAUAACUUCCUAACAGCAACGGAAUAUUAUUAUGCACCAGUUGUGUGCAGUAGUUUUACUGACAGUAGUUUUACUGAAACUGCAGUAGUUUAGCGUAAGCACGGGUUGGCCAUGAUAUGUAUUUACAUAUGUAGUAAAUAAGAGGAGGAGAGUAGUACCAACCAAAAUGUAUGCCAAGUUAUAAACAGGGUAGUAAUUGUGAUUACAUUAUGUCCAUGCACCAGAUAAGUUGGGUAAAGAAACUUUCUCCGAGUUGAAGUAAAUCCAAGAAGAGUCAGUUAUUUGUUUCAUGAACCCAAACUAACCAGGGUUGUAUUUGUUAAUGUGUAGUGUUAUUAGUUUUAAUCAUUUGUGUAAGUUGUAAAUUAAUGGUAAAUAUCAAACUCUUUAAAAAAGAGUAUAAUAGCUUGUUAGUUAUAAUAGUUAGUAGCAAUUAAACCAAAAACUGUUUGUAAACAAAUCACUUUUUUUCCUGGGAUAUGUAGUGUCGGGUGUUGUACGAAACCCGAACCAUUAAUAAAGUAGUCGUUGCUUGAGACUCGAA